GGCUCAGAACGAACGCUGGCGGCGUGCUUAACACAUGCAAGUCGAACGCGAAAGGGACUUCGGUCCUGAGUAAAGUGGCGCACGGGUGAGUAACCCGUAGAUAACCUGUCUUCAUGUCUGGAAUAAUACGCCAAAGGGGUACUAAUACCGGAUAUUCUUGCUUUUCAUAAGUUAUGCAAGCAAAGGUGGCCUCUGCAUAUGCUACUGCAUGAAGAGGGGUCUGCGUACCAUUAGCUAGUAGGUGGGGUAAUGGCCUACCUAGGCGACGAUGGUUAGCGGGUCUGAGAGGAUGAUCCGCCACACUGGCACUGGAACACGGGCCAGACUCCUACGGGAGGCAGCAGUGAGGAAUAUUGCGCAAUGGGGGAAACCCUGACGCAGCGACGCCGCGUGAGUGAGGAAGGCCUUCGGGUCGUAAAGCUCUGUCAAGAGGAAAGAAGUGUACAAUGGCUAAUACCUGUUGUAUUUGACGGUACCUCUAAAGGAAGCACCGGCUAACUCCGUGCCAGCCGCGGC
rnacentral:rRNA from 1 species